AAUUAGAAAGCGAAUUAUUGCAUUUAGUUUCGACCUAAACCUUAGGUUACCAACCUUCUAAUUU
rnacentral:tRNA from 1 species